rnacentral:rRNA from 1 species
UACAGAGGGGGCAAGCGUUGUUCGGAAUUACUGGGCGUAAAGGGCGCGUAGGCGGCCUUCUAAGUCGAACGUGAAAUCCCCGGGCUCAACCCGGGAACUGCGUCCGAUACUGGAAGGCUUGAAUCCGGGAGAGGGAUGUGGAAUUCCAGGUGUAGCGGUGAAAUGCGUAGAUAUCUGGAGGAACACCGGUGGCGAAGGCGACAUCCUGGACCGGUAUUGACGCUGAGGUGCGAAAGCGUGGGGAGCAAACAGG